GAUGAAGAACGUAGCGAAAUGCGAUAAGUAGUGUGAAUUGCAGAAUUCAGUGAAUCAUCGAAUCUUUGAACGCACAUUGCGCCCCUUGGUAUUCCAUGGGGCAUGCCUGUUCGAUCGUCAUUUGUACCCUCAAGCUCUGCUUGGUGUUGGGUGUUUGUCCCGCCUUGCGCGUGGACUCGCCUCAAAGCAAUUGGCAGCCGGCAUAUUGGCCUGGAGCGCAGCACAAUUUGCGCCUCUUGUCAUGAUUGUUGGCAUCCAUCAAGACCAUUUUUUUGCUCUUGACCUCGGAUCAGGUAGGGAUACCCGCUGAACUUAAGCAUAUCAAUAAGCGGAGGA
rnacentral:misc_RNA from 1 species